AAUAGAUACCCGGGUAGUCCACGCCCUAAACGAUGCAUAUUUGGUGUGGGCCAUUCAUUUGGUCUGUGCCGGAGCUAACGCGUUAAAUAUGCCGCCUGGGGAGUACAGUCGCAAGGCUGAAACUCAAAGGAAUUGACGGGGGCCCGCACAAGCGGUGGAGCAUGUGGUUUAAUUCGACGCAACGCGAAGAACCUUACCUGGGCUCGAAAUGCUUACGACCAUCUUUGGAAACAGAGACUUCCCGCAAGGGACGUGAGUAUAGGUGCUGCAUGGCUGUCGUCAGCUCGUGUCGUGAGAUGUUGGGUUAAGUCCCGCAACGAGCGCAACCCUCGUCUUUAGUUGCUACCAUUUAGUUGGGCACUCUAAAGAAACUGCCGGUGAUAAGCCGGAGGAAGGUGGGGAUGACGUCAAGUCCUCAUGGCCCUUACGCGCUGGGCUACACACGUGCUACAAUGGGCGGCACAAAGGGUUGCGAAGUCGCGAGGCAGAGCUAAUACCCAAAAAACCCGUCCUCAGUACGGAUUGCAGU
rnacentral:rRNA from 1 species